rnacentral:rRNA from 1 species
AUGCAAGUCGAGGGGUAUAGUAGCAAUACUAGAGACCGGCGCACGGGUGCGUAACGCGUAUGCAACCUACCUUUUACAGAGGGAUAGCCCAGAGAAAUUUGGAUUAAUACCUCAUGGUAUAAUUGAAUCGCAUGGUUUAAUUAUUAAAGUUCCAACGGUAAAAGAUGGGCAUGCGUCCUAUUAGCUAGAUGGUAAGGUAACGGCUUACCAUGGCUACGAUAGGUAGGGGUCCUGAGAGGGAGAUCCCCCACACUGGUACUGAGACACGGACCAGACUCCUACGGGAGGCAGCAGUGAGGAAUAUUGGACAAUGGGCGCAAGCCUGAUCCAGCCAUGCCGCGUGCAGGAAGACGCAUCUAUGGUGUGUAAACUGCUUUUGUACGGGAAGAAACACUCCCUCGUGAGGGAGCUUGACGGUACCGUAAGAAUAAGGAUCGGCUAACUCCGUGCCAGCAGCCGCGGUAAUACGGAGGAUCCAAGCGUUAUCCAGAAUCAUUGGGUUUAAAGGGUCCGUAGGCGGUUUGGUAAGUCGGUGGUGAAAGCCCAUCGCUUAACGAUGGAACGGCCAUUGAUACUGCCAGACUUGAAUUACUAGGAAGUAACUAGAAUAUGUAGUGUAGCGGUGAAAUGCUUAGAUAUUACAUGGAAUACCAAUUGCGAAGGCAGGUUACUACUAGUGGAUUGACGCUGAUGGACGAAAGCGUGGGUAGCGAACAGGAUUAGAUACCCUGGUAGUCCACGCCGUAAACGAUGGAUACUAGCUGUUCGGGGCAACCUGAGUGGCUAAGCGAAAGUGAUAAGUAUCCCACCUGGGGAGUACGUUCGCAAGAAUGAAACUCAAAGGAAUUGACGGGGGCCCGCACAAGCGGUGGAGCAUGUGGUUUAUUCGAUGAUACGCGAGGAC